CGACAUGCGAACACGUGCACUCGAGCGCAUGGAUUAUGAGCUUGCUCUUAUGAAGUUAGCGGCGGACGGGUGAGUAACACGUGGGUAACCUGCCCAUAAGACUGGGAUAACUCCGGGAAACCGGGGCUAAUACCGGAUAACAUUUUGAACCGCAUGGUUCGAAAUUGAAAGGCGGCUUCGGCUGUCACUUAUGGAUGGACCCGCGUCGCAUUAGCUAGUUGGUGAGGUAACGGCUCACCAAGGCAACGAUGCGUAGCCGACCUGAGAGGGUGAUCGGCCACACUGGGACUGAGACACGGCCCAGACUCCUACGGGAGGCAGCAGUAGGGAAUCUUCCGCAAUGGACGAAAGUCUGACGGAGCAACGCCGCGUGAGUGAUGAAGGCUUUCGGGUCGUAAAACUCUGUUGUUAGGGAAGAACAAGUGCUAGUUGAAUAAGCUGGCACCUUGACGGUACCUAACCAGAAAGCCACGGCUAACUACGUGCCAGCAGCCGCGGUAAUACGUAGGUGGCAAGCGUUAUCCGGAAUUAUUGGGCGUAAAGCGCGCGCAGGUGGUUUCUUAAGUCUGAUGUGAAAGCCCACGGCUCAACCGUGGAGGGUCAUUGGAAACUGGAGACUUGAGUGCAGAGAGGAAAGUGGAUUCCAUGUGUAGCGGUGAAAUGCGUAGAGAUAUGGAGGACACCAUUGCGAGCGACUUUCUGGUCUGUACUGAACCUGAGGCGCGAAGCGUGGGGGAGCAAACAGGAUUAAUUACCCUGGUAAUCCCCCCCGUAAACAAUUAGUGCUAAGUGUUGAAGGGUUUUCCGCCCUCAUUGCUGAAUUUAACCGCUUUAACACU
rnacentral:rRNA from 1 species